rnacentral:lncRNA from 1 species
AUGAUGUCAGAAUCCAGCCUCACAGUGGUUGCUUGGAAAUCAGUGAAGCCUUCUGAGAACCCAGCAGUGUGGGUGUUGCAGUGUGGGGCCAAGCACCUUCUGCUUCCCCCUGUCCGGGAGACUGGUUGCCUCUCCAGGGGGCCAAUCCCAUUGCUUCCUAAAGGUGGAGAGAGGUGGUGGAUAAGGCCGGUGGAAGUGUGGAGCAUGGAGAAGAGAUGCUGGGGCAAUCAUCAGUAAUAGCAUCGAUAACCUGCGGGUCUUCACUGUCGGAAAACAAUCUAGGAAAAAUGGGUAAAAUUUGAACAGACAUUUGACAAAAAUUUAUAAGUACUUAAUGCAUAUGUGAUCAUCAGUUAUCAAGAAAAUGUAAAAUAAGUCCCAGUGAAAAAACUAAAACUCCAUCGAAUGGGUGGUGGGUGUGAUGAUUGAUAUUGAUUAUUGGCUUGAUUGGGUUGAAAGGUGCCUGGGAGGUUAGUAAGGUACACUUUUGAGUUUGUCAGGGUGGGCUGCGGGGCAAGACUGUGCGGGUCGCAUGGGGUCCCAGCCCCUUCCACUCUAGCUCUCUUCCAGCUGUCUCUGCUUCCCCGAUGUUGUGCACUCAGCAGCUUUUCUCCUCCACACCCUUCCUUCAGGAUGGUUCUGCCGUGGAGCCGGUGACCAUGAACUGAAUCCCCUGAUACCUCGAGUAGCUUGUGUUGGGCGUUUGGUCACAGCACUGAGAAGCUGAUCAAGGUCACUGGUGGAACCAGAAGCUGGGAGGAUUCUAACUGGAAUUCGCAUUAGUUGAGAGGGGAAUGUGAGAGGGGAAUGUGUUUGGGAAGCACUUUUGGCUAUUAAAAGGGUGGACACUCCCGUAUGAGUCAGAAAUGCUAUCCUUAGGCAUUUAAUCAGCAAAAUUAAAAAUACAUCACAAAGACUUGUAUACUGGUCCUAGUAAUUUGGUUUUUAAUAGACAAAAGUUUGGGAACAUCUGGAAAAAAGCUACACGUGUAUCCAACAACAUGGGUGAAUCUCAGGAACAUUUUGCUUGGCAAAUGAAACCAGACGUACACAUGCUAUAGGAUUCUCUAUGAAAUCCUGAAAAAGACAGAUCAAGC